GGUCAGCACACAUAUAUAUAAGCGGUUCCGUCUUGGGUUGCAGCAUCACAUACACACGCAUUCAGCCUGACUGACGUUGAAUUCUCGAUUCUCCGCUGAGCUACAUCACGGUUUAUCACAAGAUGGCAAACAUGCGCACUCUCUUCGUCCUCUCGGUGGCCGCCUUGGUUCUCAUAGCCGUUAGCAAUGCUAUGUUGGUAUGCCCAACGUUUCCGGGAUGCUGUGAGACUCAGAGUUGCGGAAGUCUGUGUCCAUCUUGCGACCAGGGAAGCCAUUUCACCAUGGGCGCUAAACUCCUUUCCAGCCGACCCCAGCCUUGCUCUCUCGUGGGAAACCUCAUCGACCUCCACAAUCUCGGGUCAUCCUCUGCCCUCGGCGAAAUGUUCGACUCCGAACUAUUCUGCCUCUGAGCAAAUAGAUCAUCCGAACUGAUGAAGGUUCUUGUCUGAUUUUUCAUUUGACCUCGUCAUUCGAGGAGCGCGUCGGGCGCGUUGUGCCCCAGGAAGAAGUACUUCCGCCCUCUCGACGUCCCAAUAGUGCAAGGAAACGAGACAGGAGUCAGGGCACCGCCGUAACAGCGUUACAUCCCUGUGACAACAAUUGGCGCCCACAGUGCAAAUGUUUCGAAGAGCAGCUGGCAACUCGGCCGACUUCAUGAGGCCCCGAGAAAUGGCCCGGAACUGCGAGGUGGUCACGUGACCCUGCAGCCGCGAGCAUCCAUGCAGUGAAUCAGUUCGCAAGUCCCAGGAAGUGGCAACGGCGACGUCCCUCCGACCUGUCCUCGCGACCACCCAAGACGAGUAUGUAGUGCUUCUGUUGUGAGCCAAGAUACGCGUUGCAAAGUUGCAAAUGCGGGAGAAAAAUCUUGCUGAGCUGAUUGUCUCCCGUAGGGCAACUGUGACACCAGCGACAGUCGUGGCCGAACGAGCGAGUAUUAGUAUACGCGUGAGAAGUCACUCAUUGUGAGUCUCUCGUCUGACUCAUCUCCCUGAAGUGUGUUUGACGAUGACGAAGCUGAAAGAAAGCUGCGAGUAAGGAAGGCCCUUCGAGGCCAAUUCGUAGGUUUUCAAGGCUUUGUGCUGAUCUGUGAUAGAGUUACUUCCUCUUUUUAUCAUUGUCGUUAUCUUCUCAUAGUCUACUUACUGUGACGGAAUGUUCACAUUUCAUUGUAUAUUUACAGCUGAAAUAGGUUCUUCUUCAAGUAAUAUGUCUAACUCAUAAAACAAUAUAUUCAAUCUUACAUCUCUUUCUACUUUUAUCAUUUCAUUCAUUCAUUCUCGUCCUAUUCAGAUUUCCAUUCAUCCACAUUCUCCCAUACAUUGUAUCUCUUUCAUUUACGGCUCAUUCAUUCAUUUUUCGCUCAUCGUUUUCUCAUCUAUUCGUGUAUUCGUUACUCCUUAGCAAGUGCCGCAUUCUCUUUCUCUUUAUCCAUUGCCUUUUGAUGCUUAUUCCUUUCCUAGGGUUGCAUAUUCAUCCUAAGUUCAUUAUUUCCUUUCCAUCCUAAUCCCGGGUUUUCCUUGGUUUACCAUCGCCUUCCUAUUCACCAUCCUCUGCCUCUCUUAAUCCUAAGCUUAUCAUCAUAGCGUUACAACCCCCAAAAACAUUCAGGAUUCUCACUCAUCCAUUUCCUCAAUUUUCAUCGACAUUCUCAUCCAUCCUUCAUUCUACGGUAUGCCCACUUUUUCAUUCCUAGUCCUUUUAUCGAAAAUGUUCCUGUUCACCAACUCCUUCAUCCCUCAGGAAGCCUUCUUACUUAUAUCCUUAGUUUUAAAGCUCAUAAUCAUCCACUGUUCUGCUGAAUAUUCUAGUUUCCAGUUAUCCUAGUCAUGCACAGCAUUUCCGCUCGCUCAUGUUUUUAAUUCAUUAACCUUUUCAUAAUGGUCUUCAUCCUCACCCUCGUCAUUCUUACGCAGCAACAGCCUCAUUCUUUCUCACUGUCCUGUUCAUCCUGUCCUUUGGGCUUUUGGUAUUCCUUAUCCCACUCUUUACUGCACAUUCCAUCAGUUUCCAUUUCCCUUUUCACUCAAUUCAUUCCCUUUCCAUUCUCUGUAUCAUCCCACUCAUAGUUUUCCACUCUCCUGCUCAUUCGACCUUUUAGUUCUCACUGUCCUGCUCAUUCACAUUCUUAGUUUUCAUUGUCCUGCUCAUUCACAUUCUUAAUUUUCAUUGUCCUGCUCAUUCACAUUCUUAAUUUUCAUUGUCCUGCUCAUUCACAUUCUUUAUUUUCAUUGUCUUGCUCAUUCCCAUUCUUAGUUUUUCACUCUCACGCUCAUAAAAUCUUCAGCUUCCCAUUGUCCUACUGAUUUACAUCCUCAUCUUCUCAUUGUCGUGCUCAUUCACUUUUAGUUUUCCACUAUCAUCCUCAUCAAAUCCUUGGCUUUCCACUGUCAUGCUUAUUCAUAUUCUUAGUUUCCCAUUGCCAUGCUCAUCAUUCACAUUCUUACCUUUCCAUUUUCCUGCUCAUUCACAUUAACCUUCCACUGUCAUGUUCAUUCAUAUUCUGUUUUCCAUUGCCAUGCUCAUCGUUCACAUUCGUACUUUUCCAUUUCACUGCUCAUUAAAAUCCUUAAGCUUCCAUUUUCCAGCUCAUUAUUUUCAUUCUUAUCUUUCCAUUAUCCUGCUCAUUAAAAUUCUUAACCUUCCAUUGUCCCGCUCAUUCACACUCUAAGUUUUCCAUUGCCAUGAUCAUCAUUCCCAUUCUUACCUUUCCAUUGUCCUGAUCAUUAAAAUCCUUGACCUUCCAUUGUCCUGAUCAUUAAAAUCCUCAACCUUCCAUUUUCCUGCUCAUUAAAAUCCUUAAACUCCCAUUGCCCUGCUCAUUAUUCGCAUUCUUAUCUUUCCAUUGUCCUGCUCAUUAAAAUCCUUAACCUUCCAUUGCCCUGCUCUCCAUUCGCAUUGUUACCAUCCAUUUUCCUGCUCUUUAAAAUCCUUACCCAUCCAUUGUCCUCCUCAUUCACAUCCUUAGCUUCCCAUUGUCCUGAUUGUCAAGCGCCUCACCUUUCUAUUGUCCUAUUCAUCCAAGCCCUCAGUUCGCAUUUUCCUCAUCAUCCACAUAUUCAACUUUCAAGUGCUUUUUCAUCCAUCCCUCCAUUUCCUCAUCAUCCGCCUCUUUAUCUUUCCAUACCCCAUAUUCAUUAAAUUCUUCAUCCCAGUGAUAUUGUGGUCACCCAAUGACCUUUUCUAGUCUCUCAUUCAUCCAUUUUCCCUUUUGUCCCUAGAUUUUCAUUGUCCUAUUCAUCAAAGUUAUUUGUAAUCUUCAGAAUUAUUGCUGUUCUGUUCAUCCGUUUCCUUGUCAUCAUACCCUCUGUUCAUUCAUCACCUUGUCAUCAGGGUAUCUGCUCAUUCAUUUUCAUGUCAUAGUAUCUGCUCAUUAUUUCUUUGCCAAUCUAACUCAGUUCAUUUCUUUCCUUAUCUAUUGUCCUAUUCAUCCAAGCCCUCAGUUCGCAUUUUCCUCAUCAUCCACAUAUUCAACUUUCAAGUGCUUUUUCAUCCAUCCCUCCAUUUCCUCAUCAUCCGCCUCUUUAUCUUUCCAUACCCCAUAUUCAUUAAAUUCUUCAUCCCAGUGAUAUUGUGGUCACCCAAUGACCUUUUCUAGUCUCUCAUUCAUCCAUUUUCCCUUUUGUCCCUAGAUUUUCAUUGUCCUAUUCAUCAAAGUUAUUUGUAAUCUUCAGAAUUAUUGCUGUUCUGUUCAUCCGUUUCCUUGUCAUCAUACCCUCUGUUCAUUCAUCACCUUGUCAUCAGGGUAUCUGCUCAUUCAUUUUCAUGUCAUAGUAUCUGCUCAUUAUUUCUUUGCCAAUCUAACUCAGUUCAUUUCUUUCCUUAUCUUCGUAGCCCUUCUUCAUCCAUUUCUAUUUUCAAUUUCAGAAGUCAUCCUUCCCUGACAUUCACCCUUUCUCUAUCUCCAUAUCUCUUUCGUUGACACGUUCUCACAUAUUGUCAGUUAUCUUUAAAAUUCUUUUCUUUUUAAUUUCCUCCAUUCUCACCAUAAGGACUUUCUUUUAUUGUAAGUGAAAAUCACUUGAAAAAAAGGAUGCUACGCUUUCUACAAAUCUUUAUGCCUUUGUCUAUCUGGUUUUAUAACUACUAUUUGCAAACUGUGAUCAAUAAAGAGGAAAGAACGCAAUUUCCAACAAGUGUAAA